CAUGGUCCAAGAUGGACGAAACCUCGACAGAUGAAGAGUGUCAUGGUGUUGGAAAGCUAAAAGAAUGGAACCUGUUUAGAAUCAUUUUGGAAUGGAGAGCGAGUCUUCUCCAUCUAUAAAAAAGUCAGCUGGCUGCCGGCCGCCACUGUGCGGCAAGCUCCAGCUGCUUUGUGCCUGUAUGCUUUCGAAAUCACUUUUGGUCAUCUGGCAACAAAAGAAUGGGUAUAUUUAACAAACAUGAGCUGCUCAGGCAACACAAAGAGAUUGCUCAACAAAAGACAAGAAGACAAACAUCAUUUUUGAACAAAAGCAGCAUACGGCGCCACCUCAAAUGCGCCUUGAAAUGAAGUCAGAGAACUAUUUACUUGCAGAAAUUGUUCAAGAUGAGAAGGAGCACUCAGAGAAAAAGUGGACCGCUUUGUUCACCACAUGCUUGUCGAGUGUGAGCAAAAAGAUCCACCCAAGUCAUCUUCCCAGUUCUAUAUCAGCCACCAUUAUUCAUUUGUCCUUUGGAAGGUCAAUUGAUCUGGUUUGAGACUCUGGGAAAUGUUUCAACUGAUUGCUUGUGACACAUUCGUUCUCACACACACACGCGUGCCUGCGCACGCACACGCGCCCACGGUCACAAACCCUUCACUUUAUCAAGCCCGGAAGAUAAACAACUUUGGAUAGGCUGAGAGACAAGGUGGGGAUGUUAAAUGUGAGGCCCUUCACACAUGGCCUGUUAAGUGAUGCUGAAUAAGGGCAUCUGUCCUUCUCGGGAAGCUCCUGUGGCGUGCCAAACGUGCACGUGCGUACGUGCUUGUUUGCCCUUUACAAAAAAAAAAAAAAAAAACUCGCUGUGUCUGCAGUCUUUUUCUUUGUGACACAAUGCGCCAAUUAAUCAACAGUUUUGCUGCACUAAUCAUCACAUUGUGUUGGGUCGCACUUGAAACAAUAGUGGACAUAUAAUGAUGAGCUUCUUAUAGGUCACCAAAAUAUGUGAAGACACCAAAAAGCAUCACUUGUAAAAUCAAGGUACCGUAUUUUCCGGACUAUAAGG